GACGAACGCUGGCGGCGUGCCUAACACAUGCAAGUUGAGCGACGAACCAGGGCUUGCCCUGGGGCAAAGCAGCGAACGGGUGAGUAACACGUGGGUAACCUACCCCGAUAACCGGGACAACCCGAGGAAACUCGGGCUAAUACCGGAUGUGCUCACUGGACUUCGGUUCAGUACGUAAAGGAAGCUUCGGCCUCCGUAUCGGGAGGGGCCCGCGGCCCAUUAGUUUGUUGGUGAGGUAACGGCUCACCAAGACCGCGAUGGGUAGCUGGUCUGAGAGGACGAUCAGCCACACUGGGACUGAGACACGGCCCAGACUCCUACGGGAGGCAGCAGUGGGGAAUCUUGCGCAAUGCGCGAAAGCGUGACGCAGCAACGCCGCGUGGGGGAAGAAGGCCUUCGGGUUGUAAACCCCUUUCAGGAGGGACGAAGGUUCGGCGGUGAAUAGCCGUCCGGACUGACGGUACCUCCACAAGAAGCCCCGGCUAACUACGUG
rnacentral:rRNA from 1 species